UACGUAGGGGGCGAGCGUUGUCCGGAUUUAUUGGGCGUAAAACGCUUGUAGGCGGCCACCGCGCGUCGGCUGUGAAAUCUCCCGGCUCAACUGGGAGGGGUCAGGCGAUACGGCGGGGCUCGAGGCAGGUAGGGGGAAGCGGAAUUCCCGGUGUAGUGGUGGAAUGCGUAGAUAUCGGGAAGAACACCCGUGGCGAAGGCGGCUCUCUGGGACGGUACUGACGCUGAGACGCGAAAGCGUGGGGAGCGAACAGG
rnacentral:rRNA from 1 species